GCUUACAAGGCCGAGACCGUGAUGGCGGACCUUCCAGAUAUAUCUUAUCUCACUCCGGAGGAAAGGCGCAUCAUUGAGGAUGUCAUCAUGCGGCAAAAGCAAGAGGAAGAGCGCCAAAAUGAGAUUAUGAGACGGAAACAAGAUGAGGUGCAAAACCUGGAGGAGACAAUAAGAGCACGUUCGGAAAAACAUAAGAAAGCGGGAAUAGAAUUAGAUGCAACGUGUCAUAUAUGUUUAAAAACAAAGUUUGCCGAUGGUGUUGGGCACAUCUGCAAUUACUGCAGCAUCCGGUGCUGCGCACGCUGCGGUGGGAAGGUCUCUCUUCGUUCGAAUAAGGUGAUAUGGGUCUGCAUUCUCUGUCGAAAAAAACAGGAAUUGUUGUCAAAAACCGGACAAUGGAUGACAAAGACAAAUCUUGGUCCGGCGGACAACGCGAUGCUGAGGCGAAUGCAAGAGGAUAUGCAGGGAGGAGUUUCUCCAGGACAUCAGGAACAAAUUCAGGAUAAAAGACCAAAAUUAGAAAGAGCUCAUAGUGCCGCGGAAAAGGAAAAUCUGCCAUUACUCCAACGGAGUGCAAGUGUACUCAGGAAGCAGUAUUCGCAACAGGAAACGGUAUCAGGGAGGCGUAUGUCUACGAGUGACAGUGGGGUGGAAAUGGCAGUUUCACCUCAUUCGAGAAGCUUACCGACUCCACACGUAGUCAGUUCUUUUCAAUCGCAACAGACACCAAGGCAUCCUGGUGCUUUUCCUGAGGACGAUCCUAGUCUAUAUCGUGGCGAACUCGACGGACUCAUGAGGGAAUAUCAGAGACAACAAAAUAUUUAUCAAAUGGAACAAAAUUCGGAUGUGGCGAUGGCCUACGGUCAUCCGGUGGAACAGAGUUCUCGACCUCCGAUUCAUCCAACACAUUUAGUUCAUUCGCAACAAGGUGCACAUCCCUCUCAACCAUGUCCACCAUCAGCUGGUGUUCAAGGUCCUCUUCAGCAACAAAGAAGCUUCAGUAGCAGUGAGGAGGAGAGAAGUACCCCCGAGUGUGCUAGCGACGAGCCGGACGAGUCUGAAAAGGGAAAGGAAUACUAUGAUCUGUCCGGAAGUCCGACUACGAUGACCAGUGGAUCGUUUAGAACUUCUUCACACAAUGGACAUCAUAGUACUGGUCCAAUAACCAUUGAAUAUAAUGGUCAUCAUCCACCGCGAGAACCGCGAAAAGAAGAGAACACCCUCGUUCGAAGAAGCUUCCGAAGAAGCGACGAGUGGUGCGCCGAUAGUAGGAGGUUCACUGAGCGGAGGGGGAAAAAAACUGUGAGAUUUCAUGGAGGGACCAAUGUCGGUGACUCUCAGGAAGAAUGGUCAUGGGAAGUCGAUCGGCAAGGUAGUCAAGACAGUGCGACAAAAGACUCUGGAAUAGAUACGUCGAGCACCUUUACGAGCAGUGAAGACAGCAACAGGGGUGACCUGCCCAAGCACUCCCUAUCAUGGCAAGCAAGCUCCGACGGGCAAAAGAUGAUCGGUCACAUGAUUCUCCUCAAGUCGUCAGGCGCCGGAAGUAGUAGUAGUAUAUUGGGUCUCAAAGUGGUUGGAGGAAAACUCCUCGAAGAUGGAUCUAUGGGCGCCUUGAUUGAAAAAGUGAAGAAAGGAAGUACUGCCGACAUCGAGGGCCAACUUAGACCUGGUGACGAAGUUAUCGAGUGGAAUGGAAGGUGCCUGCAGGGCAAGAGUUUUCAGGAGGUUUACGAUAUUAUUGCCGCAUCGAGGCAGGAACCUCAGGUAGAACUGGUUGUCUCAAGGAACUUGCUUUCGUCAACAACUUUACCCGGGAGGUCAACGACUGCAUCAACGACCACCCCUGUUGCCUCAAGGCGUGCUGUUGCUCAGUCACAGUGGAGACAGAAACACGAAUGCACAGGCGUUACUCAACAACCUCAUCACAAAGAGCUUUACGAUACGAGACGUGAGAAACCUUCGGUUUUGGUAACGUCACCGGGUUCACCGGAUGUUCAUACGCAAGGAAGAUCGAGACACAUAAGACAGCCAACGGGAAAUGUUAAUUUCGGAGGACGCAUUCAGGUGAAAUUGAAUUUCGAUCCUAGUGCCCUUCAAUUGAUUGUCACCUUAGUGUGCGCGACUGGUCUCCCUCCACGAAGCAAUGGCCAAGCAAGAAGUCCAUAUGCCAAAAUAUUUUUACUUCCUGAUCGAAGUGAAAAGUCCAAAAAGCGAACGAAAGCCUUGGCAAAUACGAAUGACCCAAGGUGGGACCAAACUUUCGUUUAUAAUGGAAUCAGAUGGUCGGAGUUAAGACAACGUGCUCUAGAAAUUACAGUUUGGGAUUAUGGUAGAUAUGUUGCAAACGAUUUCAUUGGCGAAGCCGUUAUAGCAUUAGCUUCUUCUUCACUCACCGAUGAAUUAGAGUGGCAUUAUUUGACUGCCCAUGAAGAACAUCGCCAUGCAAGUCAUUAUCAAGAUUUUGUCGACGAUGUGACGACGCCAGGCGAUUGCCAUCUUAGUCCACCGUUAACAACCUCAAGACUUAGUGAUUCAGAUACUUCCGAGUGCGAUAUCACUGACUGCGAUGUUUCUAGGGAACAAAGAAGAACGGCUGACGGUGCCAGUAUAAGUAGUAUCGGCAGCUCUUCUAGGUUUCAUAAUAUGCCGUCAAAUUAUAAGCGCCACUAUUCUAGUCCGCCACCUGAAAAGGAAUUCUGUGUGGACGGUGAGCAUCGAAGUCGAAGGGAUAUGUCACCGCAAGGUUGUAAAAGACCAGCGCUUAUGAGCACUAGAGACCAUUCCGCUUCCAUUUCCAGUUAUCAACACUAUCGUAAGGAUGAUUCACAUCGUGCCACAUUAAGCCACAGGUCCCAUAGCGCAGCGCUGAUGGAUUCUCAUCAUUAUCGAAGAAGGUCGCAAAGUCCUACAGGUCAUCGUUCUCUUUCACCUCCUGAUCAUAGAUCUGUUCCCUAUUCACACAGUUACAUGGCAGCUAGAUUUACAUCAAGAUCAGCGACAGCAACUCCAACUGGAUCUCCGAAAAAGCGUCAAUUGCCUCAGAUACCUCAAAAUUUGCAAAUAGCCCUGAAGGAUCGAGGAGUCGGAGAUUUCACCGAUAGAGCGAGAUUCAUUAAACAUCGCAGUAGACCAAUGCACUCAUAUCGAAAUUCCAGUUUCGAGAAACAUAUUACUGGUCUCUCAGACUCAGAUCUACCGUCAAUGAGUUACGAUCCACACUCCCUUUCACACACUCAUCUCCACAGAUUACACAGAUCACGAAGAGAUCGUCUAAGUCCCGAUAAAGAUGUUCUUGCCGAUCUUGGCGAUUCUGAUAUGGAGAGUAUAGCCUCCGUAACAAGUAGUGCCUUCAGCACACAAUCAGAGCGACCACGUGGUUCGAGGGGAUUAAUACCGACAGUUAAAAACGUUUUAAUACCCGGUGUCAUAUCCCCAGUACCCCCACCCCCUAGGCGCAAUAGGCGCAAGCACAGACUUAGGGUACCCUGCAGCGAAUGUCAUUGCCCAAACAACUAUCCCAUCAAACCAAAAAACAACCCUAGCAAGCAUCACCUUCCCUCGCACCCCCUUAUACGGAGCAAAUCCGCAGUUGUUCGCUCGCUAUAUAGAAAAAUGCGAACGCCCUUCACAAGAUCGCAGACUGUCGAUGAGAAUAUGUUGAGAUAUUACAGUCCAGCGACAAGCGAAUACAGUGUCUGCGAGGGCCUCAUUCUCAAGCCAGAAAGCCUUACCGGUACAAGUGCAACAAAACGCAUUCCGGAAAUCUACAUCGAAGACUGCCUCCAGGUCAAUUUUAACGACCGUCUUGUCGAUAAAUUUCGCUCACGUUAUUUACCACCCUAUGGUUAUGAUUUUGGUUCACAUCGACGAUCCCGCAGUUGGCAGGAUCGUUCCACAAGAAGUCGAAAGACUCCAAGAUAUUCAAGUUUCCUCGAGAGUUUAAAUCCCACAGAUUUCGCUUACAAACGCCUCGAUCUUCGAAACAAUGAAAUCAGAAAUAAAACUCUCGCCAGACAACGAAGAUCUUUUUUACUCUCAAGAGCCAAAAGUUUUGACAAUGAAGUCCUAAAGAACUCCCGACUAAUCAUCAAUAAUGAUGCCACCACGAAUUUUAAUAGAAAACUAGUAUCCGUGUCGAGAAGGGCAAAAAGUUUCGAUUACGACGUUCUAUCCUCAAAUAUAUUUAGUGACGAUAGUCUACGAACUGCCAGGGAGAAGGUGAAAAAAAAUCUCUCCCUCAACGAUUCUUCCUACGGUGAUAGAAUUCCUGCUCUGAAAGAUCAGAGCAAAUCCUAUUAUGAUUCAAAUGGCGACAAUAAAGCUCGUAUGAAACAAUUGGCCAUUGAACAAAUAGCCUUCGAUCAAUUCACUGCUAAUCAAGAACAACAAAGACUGCUUUAUGGUUAUGACUCCGAACUGAGCGCCGGCGAAACGGAAAUUUAUCUCCCCAUUAGUGAUACAACACGUUUUUCUACAAAUAAAUCCGAUGAUUUUGCAACUAAACGAAAACACGAGUCAAUUUAUCAUGAUAUUGAUAGUAAGCGAGAGAAAUCGCGAAGUUUAGCCGAUGAUCUCUACAGUCCUCUCGAGUCAAACGAUCACAUAUAUUGUAGUAUAGACGAUGUUAUGUUACCCUACUGUGAUUACGAUUACGAGCACACCUCAUAUCCCUACCACGAUCAAUUCUUUGAUUACAAUCGAAAAAAUCGUCGCCGACGUACCAAAAGUACAGACUCAUAUCUAGACGACUACUCCUACGAUUGGGAGGAGGAGGAGCCUGAUUAUUUUUCUCAAGAAAGAACUGAUAUUUACAAUCCAGAGGCCUAUUAUCGUUAUCCAGUUUACGACCGGAGAAAACCAAGUGAUAAAACUGUGCGAAAACACAGAAAUACUUCUCGCCUUGAGACUGAUUCUUAUAAUAGUUAUUAUCCACAAUCAAUAAAUUUUGAUAACGUAGAAUACGAAAAUAUCCCCCGACUUCCAAGAAGAAGAAACGAUAAUAUUAGUUAUUACGAUGAUUAUCCAAUUCGCGAAGACUUAGUGACGAUCGCUCGUGACAAUCAGCCUAGGCAACAGACCCAAAAAAUGCGAAAUCGCGCCAGAUCGACUCCAAUUCUCUACUUCGAUCAAGAUCUCAUGGACGAUGAUAGACGCACCCAAAAAUUGUACAAAAGAAAACGUAACACCAGUUGUCCGGAGGCCUUCCGCACAUUCGACAGUCCCCCAACGAACGACGACAGUCCAUCCGAUCUUCUCUUCUACGCCGACGAGAAUUUCGGCUCAAUGGACACGGUCAUCGAUCGUAACUACCAAAGAACGUUAAACAGAAGCAAAAUUCCACUUUAUGAUAAAUACGCCGAAGAUGAAUAUUACGAUAAUCAAAAGAGAAAAACAAGUUGUCCGGAGUGUCUCGAAAUGCUCCAGGCCGAGAGAACUGAGCGAGAAUAUCAGAGGGAGAGAAUGUCGGCCGAGAUAAGACAGCAGCACCGGUAUCGCAGACGCAACAGCAGUUGUCCCGAGGCACGUGAAUUGGAAUUCGUCGAUAAGAAGGGUAGUAAGAGAAAUGUCGCGAUAAGCGACACCCUCGAGUACUACGAGUACUCGAUGGAGAGCGAGAGUCAGUGUAGCGAGAACUGCGGCUUUGGCCCGUCUGAUCCACGUAGGCCCCGUAACCGAGCACCCCGCCCCGGUAACGCUAAUUCAAAUCUCUUUGAUUCCCAAACCGCUACCUCCGACACUGCUAAAAACCCACGGGCCACCGUCGACCAUCACGAAACUCCUACUACUACUACUACUACAACUACUACUACUACAUCACGUUACCAUCACACGAAACCGCAACUCGUCGCCAUGAACACGCCAACCGGCGGCGAAUCCUAUGAACUACUACUACUACCUUCCGAAUCAUCGCGUCAACAACGCUCGCGGAAACAAUCGACGACGCACGACUACCACGACGAUCACCCUCACGACGAUGGAAAUAAUCGACGAUCGUCCUCUAUGCCCGAAAGCAGUGACUAUACCAGCCAGAGUGGGUCCUAUGAAAAAUCGUCCAGACAUCAAACGCCUGAGAUCGAUCACAAUGGCCACAGCAAGCGGGGUCAAUUUACGAGGAGCUUUAGUAAUACCGACGCACCAACGGACGAGAAAGUUGAUGGCAGCCUGAGUGACACGGCGGUUGGACUUCACGUUGAAGAAUCGUCGAGGAGAAAUCGAAAGAAUUCACCAGGGAGUAAAAGUGGCAGCGCAAGUAGUGGUAGCGGCAGUGCCGUUCAGUAUCAAAGCAGUGGAAUGGGAAAGAAGAGCAACAGCACGAGUCAAUUGUCUGCGACAGAAUGUGGAGUUGUCAUCGGGACUACGUUGGAUCCACGAUCGUCUGGCAUUAUGAAUCGCAAGAGGAACAGCACUCCGAGCAGUAUUCAACGUUCUCAGGAGGUGGUACCAACCUAUCAACGCAUCGGUAAACCAGGAUCUAUGGUCAGCGAUACGGCUGGAAGUUUGAACUCAAUCUCAAGUUCUGAAGGAAGCUCUUGGUCUCCCAGUUUGCGUAUGGCAGGAGAAGGUGGACAGCUAAGUGACUUUAUCGAGGGAAUUGGCCCUGGACAAAUUGUGGGACGACAGGUUCUUGGUGCACCAUCGCUUGGUGAAAUUCAACUUUCUCUAAGUCACACCAAAGGCUACUUGGAAGUUGAAGUUAUUCGAGCUCGAGAUUUACAAGCAAAACAGGGCAGCAAAGUUGUACCAGCACCUUACGUGAAAGUCUACCUCGUUAAUGGAAAGAAGUGUAUAGCCAAAGCAAAAACAACAACAGUGAGAAAAACAUUAGAACCUUUGUACCAACAACAUUUGCAAUUUAAGGAAAAUUUUCAAGGCUGCAUUUUACAAGUGACUGUAUGGGGAGACUAUGGUCGAUUGGAGGGGCGAAAAGUGUUCAUGGGAAUUGCUCAGAUCUUGCUGGAUGAUCUGAACCUGAAUGAUAUGGUGAUCGGAUGGUAUAAGCUGUUCGGCACUACAUCCCUGGUCAGUGGACCACCUUCCCUUGGUUUGUCUCGUCGAUCUUCAGCAGCCUCUCUCGAUUCCUUAAAAUACUAAACUCAAAAAAGAAAAAAAAAAGAAUUCUAACACGAGCUCAUCUUUGAACUCUAAAAUUUUCUCUCUAUACCAUUAGUUUUUGCCUUCUAUAUCUCAAAAGCAUGCUUUGAGUUAUUUACAGUUUCUCAAAAAAGAAAAAGAAAAGAAAAAAAAUAACCCAGAACAAUUUUACUAAGAAAAAGAAAACAAAAUCACAAAAUACAAUCAUUCCUAUACAAAUAAAUUAGAAUUUUCGACAACAAAUGUUGCCAAUUUUUAAUAUAGUCAUUAAUACUCUUCCAGAUUGACAAAAAAAAUUCAUUUCAAAAGAUACUAAAAAUAAUUGUCAAUCACCUAAUGUUCGAUGCAAAUUUAAAUAUAUAUAUACAUAAAACUAAUUUGAAAUUUACUCUUAAAAAAAAGAUAGAAAAAAGUGUAGACAAAGCGUUUAUGUCUUUCUGUCAUGUAAGUCUAUAUAUUUUAUAUAUUUUACAAUGCUAUAAUAAUAUCUAAAUUUUCAAACAAAAACAAUUAAUAGAUUUUUAAAAGAGAAUUUAAAAAAAAAUUUCAAUUACUGAAAGAAAAAAAAUAUAAAUAUAUAUAUAUAUAAAUGCGAAAUCUGUUGGAAAAUUAUCGAUAAAAUAAAAGAGAAACACAGAAAGAAAGAGAGAGAGAGAGGACUUGCUAAAAGUGUUUGACGAAAAAGAAUGGAAGUCAAUGUUGGGGUAGUGACUAGAGUUUAAAAAUGGACGGGGGAGAAUGAAAGAGCGCACGAGAGAAUUGUUUUUCUAGAAACACCACUAGCACAUCACAAAUCACGUACAGCAUAUCGGAUGAGCUACGUAUGUUGACUAUAGCUGUAGACGUAGCAGAUUUGUUCCCGGAGCGCAAGUUUUUAGUAAACUGAAGGGAAUCAAACAGUGAAAACAGUAUCGUGAAUUCAAGUGUGAUGAGUGAACAAAAAAAACACAAUAUAAAAGGAACGAUUCUCGAAAUAGUCGUCCAUUGUGAUCGCUUCUUUGGUGUAAAAAUCUAUAAACAAAUUUCAUUUUUUUUUUUGGCUAUUGUCAAACAAUAUGUCCUGGCGUCGAGCUGAACUGAGAAAAAAAAAACAAAUUGUGACCCUCACGAGAGCCACAAAGUCUGUUUAUGUAAAGUAUAUAAAUAUAAAUAAUAAAAAGAAAAUUAAUAUCGAUUAUAGGUACAAUUAAAAUCCGCGAAAAUCAAUUCGAAUUAUGUAUAUUGUAUAGGUAAACUCGAGUGUUAAAAAAAUAUUUGUAUAUAUAAUUUGUGACGUCGUGCAAAGACUUUUAAAAACUAGCAAACUUGUAUGCAUGUAUUAAUUGGGAGCCGAAAAAAAUAUCUCGAAAUAAAAAGAAAAUCUUCAAUAUAUUCCAUUGAAGACGUCUUAGUCGCAGUAUGUGUAACUACUGUAAAUAAUAAUGUGAUAAACUAAUUUCAAUGCGUCGCAUCGCGAGCUUAUUUAUUUUAGCCGAACGUGGCUUUUAAGCUACAUAAUAAUAUUAUACAUCUUGUCAACGAAUUCACAAUUAUUUCUUUUUUUCCGUUUUCUACAUUUUAUAAUUUAUUAUCUACUUUGAAAACAAUUAUGAAAACUAUUUAUUGUCUUCUUUCAAAACUAUUUAUUGUCUACUUUGAAAACUAUAUUUAUUAUCUCAAUGUAGAACUAUUUUGAUUUUAUUUUUCUUUAAAACAGAAAUUGCUCUCACCAAAUAAAUAAAUUUAUUAAAAAUUUUCAA